rnacentral:lncRNA from 1 species
UUCUAUAUCUCAUUUCCUAAUACUUUUAAUCAAACUUACUUCAUUUAUUUAACUUAGACAAUCAAUUUUCAUGUUAAAGAAAAAAGGAGAUUUAAACUAUUAUGACAAAAAUUUGCUACAAAGAGAAACUAACCAUAAACCAUGUAAAGAACUCCAAUAUAUAAAAUUAAAAGAUAAUCCAUUUGAGAGUAUAUAGAAUCAAUAUAUUAUAACUUUAUCAAAAAAAUCUAUUCAAUACAAUGAUACGUUAAUUAGGUUGAUGUUAGUUUAUAUAUGUUCAUAGCAUA